rnacentral:rRNA from 1 species
GACGAACGCUGGCGGCGUGCUUAACACAUGCAAGUCGAACGGUGAUGCUCCAGCUUGCUGGAGUGGAUCAGUGGCGAACGGGUGAGUAACACGUGAGCAACCUGCCCCAGACUCUGGAAUAAGCGCUGGAAACGGCGUCUAAUACUGGAUACGAAACUGGCCCGCAUGGGCAUGGUUUGGAAAGUUUUUCGGUUUGGGAUGGGCUCGCGGCCUAUCAGCUUGUUGGUGAGGUAAUGGCUCACCAAGGCGACGACGGGUAGCCGGCCUGAGAGGGCGACCGGCCACACUGGGACUGAGACACGGCCCAGACUCCUACGGGAGGCAGCAGUGGGGAAUAUUGCACAAUGGGCGAAAGCCUGAUGCAGCGACGCCGCGUGAGGGAUGACGGCCCUCGGGUUGUAAACCUCUUUCAGCAGGGAAGAAGCGAAAGUGACGGUACCUGCAGAAGAAGCACCGGCUAACUACGUG